rnacentral:miRNA from 15 species
CGAGACAAUGCUAUUCUUGUAA